rnacentral:lncRNA from 1 species
CUCGAAAUUCAUUCAUCUCGAAAUUGAUCACGUAUAGCCGAGAAAGAGAAUUAAGCUUGAAUUAAGCAAGUAACUAAUGACAUGCAAUCAAAUUUAAACCUUCUAACAUUUCAAACUUCAAAAAACUUAAAACUCAACUCUCUGCCCUAACUUGAUUCAUCUCGAAAUUGAUCACUGAAUACACAUUGAUGAAGGUGAGUAUAGACGAGAAAGAGAAUUAAGCUUGAAUUAAGCAAGUAACUAAUGACAUACAAUCGAAUUUAAACCUUAUAACCUUUCAAACUUCAAAAAACUUCAAACUCAACUCUCUGCCCAAACUUGAUUUAUCUCGAAAUUGAUCACCGAAUACAGAUCGUUGAAGGUUAGUAUAGCCGAGAUAGAGAAUUAAGCAUGAAUUAAACAAGUAACUAAGACAUGCAAUCAAAUUUAAACCUUCUAACCUUUCAAACUUCAAAAAACUUCAAACUCAACUCUCUGCUCUACUUGAUUUGUCUCAAAACUGAUCACUGAAUACACAUAGCUGAAGGUAGUAUAGUCAUAUUUGUGAAGAAAAUUGUGAGUAAGAAGUGGCGAGAGAAAAUUGCAGCGGCGAGAGAAAAUUGGGAGCGAAAGAUGAAAAGGAUGAAGUGAAUUUAAUUUAAUUCUGCCAAAUUGUCAUAUAUGGUUAAAAAAAUAAUGUUGACAAAUGUGGUAAAUAUUUUUUAAAAAGUAUACACCUAAGUGAUUUUCCCAUU